rnacentral:rRNA from 1 species
CGGUUCCUACGGGGGGCAGCAGUGGGGAAUAUUGCACAAUGGGGGAAACCCUGAUGCAGCAACGCCGCGUGAGUGAAGAAGGAUUUCGGUAUGUAAAGCUCUAUCAGCAGGGAAGAAGAAAGACGGUACCUGACUAAGAAGCCCCGGCUAACUACGUGCCAGCAGCCGCGGUAAUACGUAGGGGGCAAGCGUUAUCCGGAUUUACUGGGUGUAAAGGGAGCGUAGACGGCUGUGCAAGUCUGAAGUGAAAGCCCGUGGCUAAACCGAUGAACUGCUUUGGGAACUGCACAGCUUGAGUACUGGAG